rnacentral:rRNA from 1 species
AUUGAACGCUGGCGGCAUGCCUUACACAUGCAAGUCGAACGGCAGCACGGGAGUAAUCCUGGUGGCGAGUGGCGAACGGGUGAGUAAUAUAUCGGAACGUGCCCAGUCGUGGGGGAUAACGCAGCGAAAGCUGUGCUAAUACCGCAUACGAUCUAAGGAUGAAAGCGGGGGAUCGCAAGACCUCGCGCGAUUGGAGCGGCCGAUAUCAGAUUAGCCAGUUGGUGGGGUAAAGGACCACCAAGGCGACGAUCUGGAGCUGGUCUGAGAGGAGGACCAGCCACACUGGAACUGAGACACGGUCCAGACUCCUACGGGAGGCAGCAGUGGGGAAUUUUGGACAAUGGGCGCAAGCCUGAUCCAGCAAUGCCGCGUGCAGGAUGAAGGCCUUCGGGUUGUAAACUGCUUUUGUACGGAACGAAACGGCCCUUUCUAAUACAGGGGGCUAAUGACGGUACCGUAAGAAUAAGCACCGGCUAACUACGUGCCAGCCGCCGCGGUAAGAC